rnacentral:rRNA from 1 species
GACGAACGCUGGCGGCGUGCUUAACACAUGCAAGUCGAGCGAUGAAGCACCUUCGGGUGUGAAUUAGCGGCGAACGGGUGAGGAACACGUGAAGAAUCUGCCUUCAACUCUGGGAUAACUCCGGGAAACCGGGGCUAAUACCGGAUAAGAGCCUUGAUCGCAUGAUCGGGGCUGGAAAGUUUUUCGGUUGAAGAUGACUUCGCGGCCUAUCAGCUUGUUGGUGAGGUAAUGGCUCACCAAGGCGACGACGGGUAGCCGGCCUGAGAGGGCGACCGGCCACCCUGGGACUGAGACACGGCCCAGACUCCUACGGGAGGCAGCAGUGGGGAAUAUUGGGCAAUGGAGGAAACUCUGACCCAGCGACGCCGCGUGAGGGAUGAAGGCCUUCGGGUUGUAAACCUCUUUCAGUAGGGAAGAAGCGAAAGUGACGGUACCUACAGAAGAAGCACCGGCUAACUAUGUGCCAGCCGCCGCAGUAA